rnacentral:misc_RNA from 1 species
CGACCUUUUAUUGUUAUGAAAAAUCUUAAAGUUUUUAUGAGGCAGUGAACCUAUAAACCAUAAUGUGCUUGUAAGUUUCCCCUGGAUUCACAAUUUGGGAAGGAAAAUUGGGAUGAUUAACAGAAUCUGGGAAGCCUUGUGUCUCCAAACAAAGUGCAGCAUACUUUGAGUAAACAAAUCCACCUUUUCCCUUAACAUUAUCCAACAUAUUACUUGUAUAAAACUGCACACCAGGUUUAUUAGUCCACAAUUCCAUCUUUCUACCUGAUUUGCUUUCUUCGACAAUAGCAACCCUCCGUAAAUGCUUCCCCUCAGUAUUAUCCAACACAUAGUUGAUAUCAUAUCCACCGGGGAUUUCACUUAACUUGCUCCCUAUUGUCCGUGGCUGGAGGAAAUCGAAGCCUGUUCCCUUAACCGGGGUAAUUUCUCCGUUGGGGAUGAGCUUAUCAUUAACAGGAGUAAUCUUGGACCCGAAAAUCUGAAUAGUUUGGGACAAAAUGUCGCCACUGUUGUGUCCACCAAGAUUCCAGUAACUAUGAGAAGCUAAAUUCACUGGUGUGGCUUUGUUGUGUGGCUUUGCUUGCAUGAUUAAGGCUAACUUGUUUGUCUCAAUGAACAUGUACGUCACCUCAACAGAAACGUUACCUGGAAAUCCUUGUUCACCAUCAAAGCUAUCGUAGGUAAGAGUUAGAUGACUAUCUUCUUCAAAAUCUUCCACAGUCCAUAUUACACUAGAGAAUCCUUUGCUACCCCCAUGGAGUGUGUUUCCAUGAUCAUUAGCUGGUAAUAUAUAUUCCACACCAUUCAGCUCAAAUUUUGCUCCUCCAAUUCGAUUAGCGACUCUUCCAAUCAGUCCACCGAAAUAUGUUGUGUCGUUCUUAUAGUCAUCAAUGGAGUCAUAGCCAAGAACAACAUCAUCCAAUUUUCCAUUUUUAUCAGGAAGUAUAACAGAAAGAACUGUAGCACCAUAAUUUGUGAUCUUUACAGAAAAAUCACCCUUCUUCAACUCAUAAACUUUAAUUUCUUCAGUUGCUUUACAUGAAUUUUUACAAAGAAAGAGAGUGAAAAAAGCAAAAAAGUAGAAAAAAG